rnacentral:rRNA from 1 species
GCAAGAACACGUAGUCAACCUACCCCGUGGACGGGGACAAAGUCGGGAAACUGACUGUAAUCCCCGAUAGGAGAAGGGAUCUGGAACGCCCUUUCUCCCAAAGGCUUACGGAACCGUGCAUCCGUGGGCGCCGCGGGAUGGGACUGCGACCGAUCAGGUAGAUGGUGGGGUAACGGCCCGCCAUGCCGAUAACCGGUACGGGCCCUGAGAGGGGGAGCCCGGAGAUGGACCCUGAGACAGUGGUCCAGGCCCUACGGGGCGCAGCAGGCGCGAAACCUCCGCUAUGUGCGAAAGCAUGACGGGGUUACUCCGAAUGCCGGGUGCUGAAUUCGGCUUUUCCCCGGUCCAAAAGGCCGGGGGAAUAAGGGGAGGGCAAGAUUGGUGUCAGCCGCCGCGGUAAAACCAACUCCCCGAGUGGUCGGGAUGAUUAUUGGGCUUAAAGCGUCCGUAGCCGGCUCGGUCAGUUCUCCGUUAAAUCUGACGUCCGAAGCGUCAGGCCGCGGAGAAUACAACCGGGCUUGGGAGUGGGAGAGGCCGACGGUACUCCCUGGGGAGGGGUAAAAUCCUUAGAGCCAGGGAAGACCAUCAGUGGCGAAGGCGGUCGGCUAGAACACGACCGACGGUGAGGGACGAAAGCUGGGGGAGCGAUCCGGAUUAGAUACCCGGGUAGUCCCAGCCGU